UGAUGUGCAUACGGUAUAUAUUGAUAACGCAUGAUAUUAAAAGACGUUGCUGCCGCGCCACCAUUCGACCAUGGUG
rnacentral:rRNA from 1 species